AAUCAACGCUGGCGGCGUGCCUAACACAUGCAAGUCGAACGCGAAAGGGGCUUCGGCCCUGAGUAGAGUGGCGAACGGGUGAGUAACACGUGGGUGAUCUACCUUCGAGUGGGGGAUAACGUCCCGAAAGGGACGCUAAUACCGCAUGACGUUCCGGGUUUAAAGACCUGGAAACCAAAGCCGGGGACCGCAAGGCCUGGCGCUUGAAGAGGAGCCCGCGUCCGAUUAGCUAGUUGGCGGGGUAAUGGCCCACCAAGGCGACGAUCGGUAGCCGGCCUGAGAGGGCGGACGGCCACACUGGAACUGAGACACGGUCCAGACUCCUACGGGAGGCAGCAGUGGGGAAUUGUUCACAAUGGGCGCAAGCCUGAUGACGCAACGCCGCGUGGGGGAUGAAGGUCUUCGGAUUGUAAACCCCUGUCGAAUGGGACGAAAGACUCGCGAGUUAAUACAUCGCGGGAGUGACGGUACCGUUAAAGGAAGCCACGGCUAACUCUGUGCCAGCAGCCGCGGUAAUACAGAGGUGGCAAGCGUUGUUCGGAAUUACUGGGCGUAAAGGGCGCGUAGGCGGCCUACUAAGUCAGACGUGAAAUCCCCCGGCUUAACCUGGGAACUGCGUCUGAUACUGGAAGGCUUGAGUAUGGGAGAGGGAUGUAGAAUUCCAGGU
rnacentral:rRNA from 1 species